rnacentral:rRNA from 1 species
CCGCCUGCCCUGUGACUAUAUGUUUAACGGCCGCGGUAUUUUGACCGUGCGAAGGUAGCGCAAUCACUUGUCUUUUAAAUGGAGACCUGUAUGAAAGGCAUCACGAGGGCUUAGCUGUCUCCCCUUUAAAGUCAAUGAAAUUGAUCUCCCCGUGCAGAAGCGGGGAUAUACUCGUAAGACGAGAAGACCCUAUGGAGCUUAAGAUAAAAGGCGAGUCAUGUCAAACACCCCCUCAAAGGAAAUGAACGAAAUGAUACCCCGCUGGAAUGUCUUCGGUUGGGGCGACCGCGGGGAAAGACAAAACCCCCACAUGGACCAGGGCCACUAUAGCCCUAAAACCUAGACCCACAGGUCAAGUCAACAGUAAAUCUGACCACCAAAGAGCCGGCAAUGCCGAUCAACGGACCGAGUUACCCUAGGGAUAACAGCGCAAUCCCCUCCCAGAGCCCUUAUCGACGAGGGGGUUUACGACCUCGAUGUUGGAUCAGGACAUCCUAAUGGUGCAGCCGCUAUUAAGGGUUCGUUUGUUCAACGAUUAAAGU